UACGUAGGGAGCAAGCGUUGUCCGGAUUUACUGGGUGUAAAGGGUGCGUAGGCGGCUUUUUAAGUCAGAUGUGAAAUCUAUGGGCUCAACCCAUAAACUGCAUUUGAAACUAGAGAGCUUGAGUGAAGUAGAGGCAGGCGGAAUUCCCUGUGUAGCGGUAAAAUGCGUAGAGAUAGGGAGGAACACCAGUGGCGAAGGCGGCCUGCUGGGCUUUAACUGACGCUGAGGCACGAAAGCGUGGGUAGCAAACAGG
rnacentral:rRNA from 1 species